rnacentral:rRNA from 1 species
UACGAAGGGGGCUAGCGUUGUUCGGAUUUACUGGGCGUAAAGGGUACGCAGGCGGCAUGUCAAGUUGGGGGUGAAAUCCCGGGGCUCAACCCCGGAACUGCCUCCAAAACUGGCAAGCUAGAGAUCGAGAGAGGUGAGUGGAAUUCCUAGUGUAGAGGUGAAAUUCGUAGAUAUUAGGAGGAACACCGGUGGCGAAGGCGGCUCACUGGCUCGAUACUGACGCUCAUGUACGAAAGCGUGGGGAGCAAACAGG